UACGUAGGGGGCAAGCGUUGUCCGGAUUUAUUGGGCGUAAAGCGCGUGUAGGCGGCCAGAUAGGUCUGCUGUGAAAACUCGAGGCUCAACCUCGAGCUGUCGGCGGAAACCAUCUGGCUAGAGUCCGGAAGAGGAGAGUGGAAUUCCUGGUGUAACGGUGAAAUGCGCAGAUAUCAGGAAGAACACCUAUGGCGAAGGCAGCUCUCUGGGACGGUACUGACGCUGAGACGCGAAAGCGUGGGGAGCGAACAGG
rnacentral:rRNA from 1 species